GAAACGACUGCUAAGACUGGAUAGGAAAUAAAAAGGCAUCUUUUUGUUUUUAAAAGACCUUCUUCGGAGGGUAUGCUUAAAGAGGGGCUUGCGCCACAUUAGUUAGUUGGUGAGGUAAAGGCUUACCAAGAUUAUGAUGUGUAGCUGGACUGAGAGGUUGAACAGCCACAUUGGGACUGAGACACGGCCCAAACUCCUACGGGAGGCAGCAGUAGGGAAUUUUCGGCAAUGGAGGAAACUCUGACCGAGCGACGCCGCGUGAACGAUGAAGUAUUUCGGUAUGUAAAGUUCUUUUAUUGAAGAAGAAAAAAUAGUGGAAAAACUAUCUUGACGUUAUUCAAUGAAUAAGCCCCGGCUAACUAUGUGCCAGCAGCCGCGGUAAGACAUAGGGGGCGAGCGUUAUCCGGAAUUAUUGGGCGUAAAGGGUGCGUAGGCGGUUAGAUAAGUCUAUAAUUUAAUUUCAGUGCUUAACGCUGUCUUGUUAUAGAAACUGUCUUGACUAGAGUGAGAUAGAGGCAAGCGGAAUUCCAUGUGUAGCGGUAAAAUGUGUAAAUAUAUGGAGGAACACCAGAAGCGUAGGCGGCUUGCUGGGUCUUUACUGACGCUGAGGCACGAAAGCGUGGGGAGCAAACAGGAUUAGAUACCCUGGUAGUCCACGCUGUAAACGAUGAGUACUAAGUGUCGGGGCAACUCGGUACUGAAGUUAACACAUUAAGUACUCCGCCUGAGUAGUACGUACGCAAGUAUGAAACUUAAAGGAAUUGACGGGACUCCGCACAAGCGGUGGAUCAUGUUGUUUAAUUCGAAGAUACACGAAAAACCUUACCAGGUCUUGACAUACUCUGCGAAGCUAUAGAAAUAUAGUGGAGGUUAUCAGGGAUACAGGUGGUGCAUGGUUGUCGUCAGUUCGUGUCGUGAGAUGUUAGGUUAAGUCCUAAAACGAACGCAACCCCUGUCGUUAGUUACCAGCACGUAAUGGUGGGGACUUUAGCGAGACUGCCAAUUAAACAUUGGAGGAAGGUGGGGGAUAACGUCAAAUCAUCAUGCCCCUUAUGAUCUGGGCUACAAACGUGAUACAAUGGCUGUUACAAAGAGUAGCUGAAACGCGAGUUUUUAGCCAAUCUCAAAAAGACAGUCUUAGUCCGGAUUGAAGUCUGCAACUCGACUUCAUGAAGCUGGAAUCGCUAGUAAUCGCGAAUCAGCAUGUCGCGGUGAAUACGUUCUCGGGGUUUGUACACACCGCCCGUCA
rnacentral:rRNA from 1 species